rnacentral:rRNA from 1 species
UACGAAGGGGGCUAGCGUUGUUCGGAAUCACUGGGCGUAAAGCGCGUGUAGGCGGCUAAGUAAGUCGGGCGUGAAAUCCCACGGCUCAACCGUGGAAGUGCACUCGAAACUGCAUAGCUAGAGUCCUGGAGAGGAAGGUGGAAUGCUUGGUGUAGAGGUGAAAUUCGUAGAUAUCAAGCGGAACACCGGUGGCGAAGGCGGCCUUCUGGACAGUGACUGACGCUGAGACGCGAAAGCGUGGGGAGCAAACAGG